UGGGGAAUAUUGGACAAUGGGCGCAAGCCUGAUCCAGCAAUGCCGCGUGUGUGAAGAAGGCCUUCGGGUUGUAAAGCACUUUUAUCAGGAGCGAAACGCUGUCGGCUAAUACCCGGCGGAACUGACGGUACCUGAGGAAUAAGCACCGGCUAACUUCGUGCCAGCAGCCGCGGUAAUACGAAGGGUGCAAGCGUUAAUCGGAAUUACUGGGCGUAAAGCGUGCGUAGGCGGUUUCUUAAGUCUGCUGUGAAAUCCCCGGGCUCAACCUGGGAAUGGCAGUGGAUACUGGGAGGCUAGAGUGUGUCAGAGGGUGGUGGAAUUCCCGGUGUAGCGGUGAAAUGCGUAGAGAUCGGGAGGAACAUCAGUGGCGAAGGCGGCCACCUGGGACAACACUGACGCUGAGGCACGAAAGCGUGGGGAGCAAACAGGAUUAGAUACCCUGGUAGUCCACGCCCUAAACGAUGCGAACUGGAUGUUGGUCUCAACUCGGAGAUCAGUGUCGAAGCUAACGCGUUAAGUUCGCCGCCUGGGGGAGUACGGUCGCAAGACUGAAACUCAAAGGAAUUGACGGGGUCAUAGCUGUUUCC
rnacentral:rRNA from 1 species